GCCUUCGUGGUGUAGUGGUCAGUACGCUGGGCGCGUAUUCCAGAGGUCUGUAGUUCGAUUCCCGGUGAGGGCA
rnacentral:tRNA from 1 species